UACGGAGGGGGCUAGCGUUGUUCGGAAUUACUGGGCGUAAAGCGCACGUAGGCGGCUUUGUAAGUUAGAGGUGAAAGCCUGGGGCUCAACUCCAGAACUGCCUUUAAAACUGCAUCGCUUGAAUCCAGGAGAGGUGAGUGGAAUCCCGAGUGUAGAGGUGAAAUUCGUAGAUAUUCGGAAGAACACCAGUGGCGAAGGCGGCUCACUGGACUGGUAUUGACGCUGAGGUGCGAAAGCGUGGGGAGCAAACAGG
rnacentral:rRNA from 1 species